UUUGUAAUACACUGUACAGUGUAAUACUGUAGUCUCGGAGGGCUUCAGAGAGACGCCCUUUCUAAUAGGCCCCCAAGGAAAAUAAAAAAAUAUUUUUAGAAAUUGCCAUUUAAUCAGGUUAACAAAAGCAGGAUGCUUUGGAAAGAAGGACAAAUUGCUAGUAUCUCCUCAGAGAGAAUCUGAGUGACUUCUAUUGCUGGUCCACUCACCUGAUGCUACAGCAGUGUUUGGUCAUUGCAUCCCUAGCUGGAAAGUACUGCUCUGUGUUUUCUGCUUCAGAGCUGGCAUGGUUUUUCAGGUUACAAUAGCUCAUCUUCAGAGCUUCUGGUGUGGGAUAGAUCAUAGCCAUGCUAAUUCUCUCCAGCUGUUUUUUCAGCAUGAGAAGCUUUGGUAGUCACAUUUGGGAAGCUUCUCUGAAAAUAGCUCAAAGAGUGGAUUGAUGACAAGACAUAAUUUUUCCUCCAGUUGUUCAGGAACUGAUCUGCAAUAUUUACUCAGCUUAGACUUAUACUUCAUUAAGACAGAAAAAUGUCCAUGGAAGAUUUACUUUUGUUUUGGUCGGUAUUAGUAUUUGUAAAUUGUUUCCAUUGCAUUAUGUGCUUCCUCCAUAUUCCUCUCAAAAACUUCUAUUAUUUUGUUGGAGCAGAUGCUUUUAUGUUUCUAAAAGAUUUUAAGAUGACUAGGUUAGAUUCAGCAUAACUGUUUUGCUUAAAUAGCAAAUUUCCCAGACCUACAGCUGAGGGUGAGGCGUGUUGCCAGAGCCCGCGCUGCAACAUUCAUCUGCGAUUCCUGUUUAAAAAGUAGCAGCUGUGUAGCUGUACGAGAAGUGAAAAUGUCUCUCAGUUCAGGAGUCAUCCAAGAACCAAUUGUAAAACAUGAUGAACCCACUGAAUUGGUAUUUGGGAGGAAAAAUGAGACUACUGUGAGAGCUGGCUUGUAUGUGGUGUUCUUUUUAACCUUAAGUACGUGCCUGAAAGAUUCUGAUUGAACAGCAGUAGGGCUUAGGUGUGUGUAGCUGAUGAAAUGGUGAAAUGGAGCCCAUAGUGCAUGACUACACAAAAGAUGUUUAGGCCUCUCAGUGAUAGUUGCCAUCACAGUAGCCAUGACUGAUGGUGAUCUAUUUCUAGGCCCUGGAAAAAGGGCAACAAGCUGGGGUCAGAGCCUGGGCUCCUUCCGAGGACCAAAUGAGGGAAACUUGAAGUUUGUGUCCUAGCAGCUUGCACAUAAUAUCCUUUAAAGCCAGGUUAAAUUAUCUGUCACCGUUAGGCGCGACACAGAAUUGUUCACAGCAGGACUGGAGAGGUUCCCCCUGUAUGUCAGUGUUCAGUGGCUUGGGAAACAGCUGCUUGCGCAGUGUCUGGUUUUGUGGUUGAACAGACAGCUCAAUUUCUGGCAUUGCUGCUUUAAGAUACAAAAAUUAUAACCAAGCUUCAAAGAAAUCUUGCAUAUGUGAAUGAGUCAGAAUUAUUUUUUCUUCUAUAAGCUGUUUAGUUUCUUGCAUUUUAUGUAGUGAAAACACUGCUUGAUCCUACUUGGUAUUACCACGUUAUGAGUGAAGGGACUUUUUUCACAACCUUUGGACUUCCUCACAUAGAACCACAUCAGCUAUAAUAAAUUUAGAGCCUUAAAAAUCUGUUGUUAUGAAGACUUUAAAAUAAAACUGUGCGGGCUGUGUCUGUUCAGUGGUAAGAAGCUAAAAUAAGACAAUGCUGAGAUCUGUUGGGCUCAAAAGAAAGUUCAGGUUUCCUGCCUUCGUGAUCUCCUUUCCAGAAGGAAAGCCUUGUGUUUCUCUCUCAGAAACCCAGGUCUAAUAAAGCACAGUUAUUGUGACCCAUCCAGUCUGACUUUGUACAUAGUCUAGCCCUUUGCAACGUCUCCUGCAUUAGCUAUAUUAAAUUGUAUUUGAACACAACUGUGUAUGGAAGGAUGUCCUGCCUUUGGUUUAUUUUUGACUUUGAGGGAUGUUCUUACCAUUCUGUUUUUACUUUUAGAAAAGAGGGUGGGUUCACUCUCAUUAGUGGAUGUAUAUAUCCUUUUAAACAUUGAAAAGAUUUAAGCAAAAGUUAUGAAAAAUAUCCUGAGAUGUUGUCCAGUACAAACAAGAUCAUCUCCUGUUCAAAAUGUUAAAUACUGCUGUUGCAAAUAAAUACAUGCUUAAAGGUGUGGGCAAGCUCAUCUGACACGUCUUUACUUGUAUAUCAAUGGAAAUUUAGUGUGGACUGAAGCAUCUUGCUUUUUAUGCUUUCUCAUCCACUGCCAAGAAUGUUUGGGUGGACCAAUUUAUGUGUGCUGCUUGCUGCUGCUGCUCUGUACUCUCUGCAUUGCAUACUUACUUCAUUGUUUUGGGGAAAAUUCCAAUUCUUUUAUCAAAGACUGUGAAAGCCAGAGAUAAUUCAAAUGGGACCAGAUGAACCAGUGCUUCAUUUUUUUUUGCUUAGACAUAAAAAAAAAUCUUGUUUCUUUUGUUUUGCACACUAUUUCAGCAUAUUUUGUUAUUAAUAAUAUCUCUGAGACUAUUGUUUAGGAGUCAGGCAUAUGUGUUAUCUCAUGCCUCCAAAUUAUGUUGCAGCAGUUCCAGAUGCACUGUUCUCAAAUGUACUGUACCCAGUAGAAAUGUGAAGUAUAGAGCUGUUUAAACUCUAGUGGUACAGUUGGUUUCAUCAACAUGAAGGCCUAGGAAGUUUUUUCUUGUAAUUGUUUUUAGCAAAAGUACUGUGUGCUGAUUUGGAACAUCAAAUAGUUUCUGUUGUUAGACCAUGUGAAAAAACCCUUCUAUGUGUGCAUAUAGUUGCAACUUUGUAGGUAAUUGGUGGUGCUGGAAAUGUCCUACAGAGAUACGGUUUUGAUCCCUUGGUCAUUGUAUUGAAGAGUGCACACCUGGCUCAGUUCUCACUGAAUCACUGCAGUGUUGAAGGUGAUGAAGAUGGAAAUCCCCAGGUAUGCUGUGAUGGUGGUGGAUUCCAAAGUGAAGGCUGCUCGAGGAUUCCCACAUGUGCAGGGCAUUUUCACCCCCUUAGCUUUUGUUCAGUGUUCAGGAUCCAAUGCUCUGAGUGACAAAAUCCCUGCUGUUACCACACAUGACCAUUUGUACCUCUGGUAUCCAAGUUAGUCCCAGGUGCAGUGAAACUUUACAGCUGCAUCUUCAGCCCUGCUGUGUCUGAUCUUUCUUUUUACUUUUCGUGGCAAAUAUGAAGUCACCUCCUUAAAGGCAGCAGAGUGCUGGGAACUCUAUCCUGCUCCUGGCAAUCAGAUUUCUUAAGAUUGUGGAAGGGAUAGAUUAGUUUAUUGCCUGCUGAAGUAUGAAUUUUACUGUAAGUCAGUAUGGAAUGACAUAGAAUCAUAGAACCAUAGGUUAGUUUGGGUUGGAAUGGGCCUUAAAGAUCAUCUAUUCCAACUCCCCUGUCAUGGACAGGGGCAACUUUCACUAGAUAAGGUUGCUCAAAGCCCCGUUCAACCUGACUUUGAACACUUCCAGGGCUGGGCAUCUUGCCCAUCCUGGGCAGUCUGUUUCAGUGGACAUCUCUUUCAUUUUCCAGGGUUGGGUAGGUCAAAGCAGCCUCAGUAAAUAAGAAUUUACAUGCUAAAUUUCUCAGAACUUAGCAGUCUUAGCAUGCUCUGUUUAGGGGGAGCAACCAGCACGGUGGGAUUGCAUCAUCCAGAUAAGGUUCUUAGGCUCUUUUGCAAUCUUUUCAUAACCGUUACAACCUGACUGCAGAGUUUGGCUGCUGCGUAGCACUAGAUUUAUGUCACUAAAGGGUAAAGUCUGUAUUUAUCACUCCUCACUUUUCAGAAGGCUCUGUGUUUUGUAUCAUCCAUUUUGUUCUGCUAGAUAUUAAGAGUACUUUUUUUGGGUCUGAUUUCUCAGUUCACUUUUUUUUACUGUUCACAAAAUUCGUUGUGCUCUUUAGUAAUUGUCUUCACGAAUUCUCAUUGCUAUGCUCAGUGGGUAAGCUAGGCUAAUGAGACCCUUUUUUUUUCAUUUGAGUGAGUUUUGCUAAUUGCUUUUAUCACACUGGAACCUGUAAGAGGGUUUUCUGUGGACAAAAUGACAACAAAAAAAUGAAGCGCUUUUGUUGGUAAGUCACCUGGCAAUUCCUCCUGGAUCUUCAACGUAGCUGUCAGCAAACAUGAGUGACUCCUUAACGCCCAGUGCCUCUAAUUGCCCUUGAUUUCCUCUCUGUUUUCCUUGUGUGGGAUUUCUCAAUUGAUGGGAUGUAACUUGAAAGCAGGUAGUGAUAGAGUGCAUCUCCAGUCAGCAGUAGAAAGAAUAAAAUAAUGAAAUUAGGAAGGUCAACAUGCAUCAGGAGCAGAAAUUUCAUCCAGCCUCCUGCCCUGUCCUGUGGUUGUGGCUGAUCCCUUGCCAUCUUAGUUCAUAACUUGUAUUGUUACUUCCUUUACAGCUCAGCUCAUGCUAGGACCCUGUCAUUUCUGCAGACUUAAGGGGUGAGGACUUCAACACUUGCCCUUUACAAAGGCUCUGUGCUUUCCCAAUUAUCAAUUUGUGUCCAUCUUCUUCCCCAAGUCUUGCCUACUGUACUGAACAUCAACCUAAGCACUCAUCUACCCCAGAAUUGUGUAAUUAUUUUCAGCAUGGGGCUAGCAUAAGGUUUUGUGAAAUUCCUAGGAAAGUAUAACUGAAUGAAUUUCAAGCUCAGAAAUGAGAUGGCAGCUAUUAGUUGAAUAUAUCUAAAAGGAGACAGCCUCCAUGAGUCUUGGGUUGACCUGUGCUCUAGCUUUUGAAGAAAAUUUACAUUGAACCUAAUAGAGUUUAUUAACCAGUACUUUUAAUUAUGUUUACAAAUUUCACUAGAUUUGUGUUAAAUCAAGAUAUAUUUGGAUUAUUUUUUUUUGUCUUGCUUGAAGUUUCCCCUGGAGCUCUGCUAUAGUCCUUUAUUAUCUUUGACUUUGUUGAGAGUAGCUUGAAAGCUUCUUUCCUUUUCUGCCAUACCUGCCUUCUGCAGGACUCCUUGCUUCACCCAGAGAAGGGAUUAGAGCCAUUGCUAUUCUCUUCAUUUAUAUAAUUCUGUCAUUGCCUUGACAUCAGCGUAAUCUUCUUGACUGGCUGAUCAAACUGAUUUUCAACAGUUUUAGACAGAGUAAAAAAUUAGUGCAUUUAGGUCUUCCUUGAUUUUUCUGGCAGUUUUCUCUGUCAUUCAGUCUAGCAGUUUUUUCUUUAUCUCAAAUACCUUUUUUUUUCUGUGCUUAUCUUCUUUCUUAUAAAAUAACUACUACAGCCGGAAUUUUCUGACUUUCAGACCUUUAAUUCUUCUAAUCUUAUGUCAAAGCAGUUAACAAGUGAUAACAAACCCUUAUUAGACUUUGUAUUGUUGAGAUUUUUGCCUUACUUUAGACAUUUGAGAUUUUCCACAAAUUUCUGUAAACCCAGGAUUUUAUUUUAGAUAUUUGUUCACAGCAUAGAGCUUCAAUGGUAGCUGCAUCUUAAUCAUAUAGCCAAAUGAAAUUUCUUUUGCAAGUGGUGUGUGUAGAUUUAGCCUUUUUGUGGUUCAUAGCACAUCAGUAACAACUGGAAUACUAUUGCAGCAAGAAAAUCUGUUCAAAAUCACAGCAAAUCCUGCUGCUGUAGGCUUCUGAAAAGGCAGCAAUACUCUGGUUUGUGAUCCUGUUUGUAUCAUGAAACGGCUUUGGAUUUUGUUACAGAGGAAAGGUUUGCAUUUUUACUUUGCAGGAUGAAAAUACACAGUAGUUGAGGGUGCCUUUGGAAUAACUGCAGACUCUGGAUCUCUCAGUGACAUGUUAAAGACCAGCAAAAUCUUGCCAGCCUGGCUGCAUCAGAUGGGCUUGUGGUUUGUCCUCCUACCAGGGCUGUGCCUGCAGAAGCCUCUGGCACUGGCAGCAGAACCUGGGCGUAACAGGGGAUUGCUGUGCUAGCUCUUUCUGGUUGAGGAGCCACCUUUGUGUGUCUGCUUGAGACAUGUUUGUUCACAUGGAAUUUACUGAAGACUAGGGCAGACCAGGCCAUACAGGAAGGAGUGAAAGCCUUAAUGCUAGAGACAUGUAGCCUGGCCAUGCACGAGUUCUUUGCCUUUGCUGGACUUCACCAUCUCACCACCCUUACAAGUGGUGCCUUACCCCUCACCAUGUAAGGGAUAAUACUUGUGAGUUUAGUUAGGGUUCACAGACGUUCCCUUGCAUUCUUAUUCGUUGGAUUGCUGAAGUGAUGGUUCUUUUUAAGUCUUUGAAUAGUUUCUGGUUUUAGUGGGACUUGAGCUUCUAAGUGGAGCAGAGGCUCAAGUUUUUUGCAUUUUCACACUGAGGCAAAUGUGAAUUUCUAGUUUGAUGGUAUGAUACGGAAUGUACAGCAGUAUUUCCUCUCUUUAGUGGUACUACUUAUGGGGCAAAACUGUGGUUAUGCUUUGAACAGAAUUUCAAAGUUCAUAGAGGAGGAGACCACUUCUUGUUGGCAACUGAGGUUACUUAAUGAUAACACUUUCGCUUCCAUCUACAUACCCAUGCUGGAUGACAGCUUUCAAGGCUGAGGCUAGUACUAGGUUUCCUUUUAUAUGCAAUACCACAUACGUUUUAAUAUAUGGAUUGCAUGGAAUUUUAAUGGCCCUGAUCAUGAGGCAAACUUUUUUUCUCAUUCUUGAAAAUAUGAAACAGUGACUUGUUUCUCAAACUCCUGCCUGGGUCUGUAAUGUUACCAGCUGCCUGUGGCUAGACAGAGUUGGCACACUCACUUCUGCUAAACCCACCCCUUAUUUUUCUUUCUGUGAGUUUGUGCUUAAACACACUGGCUAACGAGUCUGAUCUGAUGUUUCCCAGUGGGAUACUAACUUUUUUUAAAGCAAUCUAAAGCUUGUUCCCCUUUCAUGAAAAAUAAUGGGGAGGUGUAAUUCUAUUCACUUACAUAGAACAAAAGUACUCUGAGUUGUUUAGAAGGCUGAAGUCUUUAGAGCCUUUUUGCAAUUGUAAACAGUAAGAUGCACAGUCAAGGACUUCUGUCUUCCAGCUGUGAACCAAUCAGAUGUGAAUUUUCUCUAAUCACAAUGAUUAAACUAAUAACAUAGUUGCUAAAUGUCACAUAGUGGCUUUUGAGCCACAAAAUUUUUCUGAUGUUAUAGCAUAUUUUUGUUUAUUUUGGGCAUCUAGAAAUGAAGAUAGAACUUCUUCAACAAAAUCCAUCCUGAGUUUGUGAGAACUUCUCAUGAGAAGUUCUUCAUGUAGCUUUCAGCUGAACAGAUUGCUACUAUCAAAUUUUUAAGAAUUUCUUAUGGUCACUUUAGUACAAUGUAGUUCCUUCUAGUAUGAACAAAAGUCUGUGGGUAGUAAAAAUAAUGGGCUUUUCCUGUUGUGAAAUGUGCCUGUGUUUCUGUGCACUUCUGUCCACAGAAACCAGCUGUGAGGGGAAAAGGAGGAUAGGCUGGCAGGGAUCCCAGUGUACUCACGGGUGUCAAUUACCAUUUGUUAUCAAUUCAGACACUUGAAAAUCUUUGUGUGAAACUGGAAGCGCAGUCCAACUUCUCUAAAGUGAGUUUGUUUCGUAUAAAUGUAUUGAAAUGUAUGUGUUUUCAGAGUUCACUUACAAUAUUCUGAGCUUGCAUUUUUCCUUUUUUUUUUCUUGAACCACAGAACAUGCUAUGGGAACCAAACUGUAACCAAUCUUUGGGGUUUUUUUCAGAUUUGUCAUUUGACUCCCCAGCAUGACUAUGGGGCUGCAGCUUUGAUUUGGCAGUUCUGGAAUGGUGCUGUUUGUGUGCUGUUUUGAUGAUCUCUGAAUUACGCCAUCUGUGGUGGACUGUACUGAUUCUUGGUACUUGAAGGUCAUCUUAACUUUGCUACUGCCGUGAUGCCACACUGGGACUCAAAUCACUUUUACUCCAACACUGAAAUAAAAAUGCUGAGUGUUCAUCACUAAAUUUCAUGGCAAAAUUCAGUUCAUUAUUGCACAGUCAUACAGUGCUGUCAGAAACUUUAACCUCUUUUUACAGGCUGGUUAGGCAAGACUUCACUGAGUAGUUAGUUUUGUCCACACGUGGGAUUUCACACUUUGUGUCAUCUGCCGUGUUUCUCAGCUUUGUGUGUGAGAGCACCUGAUGUACACAUCUCCAUAGAAAGCGUGGCUAGUUCCUCACCCUUGUGCUAAUGCCAGGGGUGCUGUGAGGAUCCAUUCUGGCUUUCAUGUCCUUUGCACUAUUUUGGACUGAUGGACUUUGCAGACUUCACUGAAGUUUCCCAUUGACAGCAGGGAUUUGGUGUAUGCUGGGUGCAUGUGGCUCCUGCAGAACAAGGAGUGCCUCUGUUGCUCAGCAGGGAGCAUCCUGUUGUAUAAGGAGGUUUUAUUUUUUUUUUUUUUCAGAGUAAUUCAAAACUUAUCAGGGUGAAACUUGUGUACAAGAUAGGAUUGCUUGGAUUUUUUCAUGGCUGAAAAGUAAUUGGCUCUCUCUUAAGCAGGAGUAACAGAAGAAGGUGAUACAGUAUUAGAAUGCAGUAAUUUCAUCUUGUCUUAUUAAAAGUGAUGACUGCAACAAUAAUUUAUACAUUUUUAAUCAGGAAAGAGUAUGGAAUAAAGACCUUCAGGCAACUUGUUUGUAAUUCCCCUAAAUGUACUCUGCCUCACAUAAAAUUACUGUAAGAAGUUGAUAAGUCUUUUUUGCUCCACAAAAUCAAAAUGAAAAUUGCUUUCCGUUUUUUCAACCUGGUUCUUCUGCCAGAUUUGUUAUGUUGGGAACAUGAUGUGGUGAAAAAGGCAUCUGUAACCUCAGGCUCUCAAGAAAAGGCCCAUGUUUUAUACAUUAUUCUCUUCUCUUAGAUGGAUACCUUCUAGGAAAUGUCUUUGUUAGUUGUUCUUUUUUUCCAGUACAGAAAUACUGCUUCAACAUGUUCUGUGCUGAAAUGUCAGCGUUGUGCUGUUGUGUAGGUGGUAGUAUGUAUUAUACACAGUUUUCAAAACCUGAAUAAUCAGUGAUGUGCAUGACUUUGCCAGGGAAAACAAAUGGCUGUGUCAUUUUGAUUUCGGUAUAUCAAGAAAAUGUAACCUAUAAAAGUUAAUUAGCAUUCUUCCAGAAGGGGGUUGUUUAACUAACAUCUUUAUUUCCAUGUUUUCAGUUUUGUCAGAAGUUGGAGGGGAGUGUUUUAUUCUGUUGCUAAUAUAUACCCAUAGAUUUACAGAGUAUUUCACGGAGUUUUAUCUACCAUGCAUCUGUCCUUCAUUUCAGCAAAAGGAUAGAUUUUUCACUCACUUGAACAACCACUUAAAUCCACUGAAAAAUUUUAUGCAGUCUUUCUUAUGAUUUUUUUGCAUAGUUUUUAUAAAUAAAAUUCCUUGAGACUGUUGGUGUUCAUGUUAUCUAUCAAAAGGAGGUUUUGCCAGUGAUUUUAACAGGAGAAAUCUUACAAUUUGUCAUUGGAAUCCUGACCAUCUGCAUCACUGGUCACUGCAAUGAGUUGAUGUAUCUCCACCUCUCAUGAAUUUGGUUCUCUGGUAGGCUCAGUUCUUCCCAUUAUCCUGGCUAUUACUGUCGUUGAAUGCACAAGAGUUUCUGGUCUGAAACAAAAGUGAAGUUUGGGCACCCAUGAUACUGAAUGAAGUACACUCACUUUAUUUUCCUGUAUAAUUCUGCAUUUCAUUACCCUUCCUCCACCACUUUAAAAACUAACUGAGAGAAGGUGUAGCUAUUUGCACACCAGCAUUACUUAACUGUGUGCUAAGAUAAGUUAUAAAAAUUUGAGAACAGAUUUCUCACACACUGCUUUGAUAAACUCUGUGUACACCUAAGGUCUUCCCAACAUUAAAAAUUCAAAGAUAAAAUUAUAUUAGUAGCUUUACAAAUAAUGUAAAAGUGGGGGUUUUAUUCUGGGUAUUACUUCUGGGUGUUAAUAUUUACAAAAAAGUGUUUUAAGAAAAAGAAGUUGACAAUUCUAAUUUUUAUUUUAAUGAGGCUCUUAUAGAAAACAUAAUCCUUAGAGAUCACGUUCUCAAGCCUGCUGAAGUACACUUGCUGUGUAUCAAAUUCUGCCUUAAGUGCUGAAGUAAAGAUAGUCUUAUGGCUAACUUGGCUUCUUUUCCACUGUUCUGUAAAUGCACACUUGAGACUUUAAUUUUGGAAUCAACUGUGAUCUUGUGUUACAAAACUAUGUAUUGAAAUAUUUGGAAAUAUUAAUGCAAAGCAUGGAUGGUGGCUGGAGCCUGUGCAGAGACUUCGGCAUCAUAACUGCUUGUGAAACCACCCCUCCUCCUUGCUUAACCAAGCCACAGGGAAUUGCAGCUCCCUAGGGUUGGCUGCAAAAGUGAUCAGGAGCAAAUAUUGGAAAGAUAGUGGGAUUUAUUAGUCCAAGUGACGGAGAACUGAACAAAUAGUGGCUGGGGGAGGGACUGGGGAGCAAAGGAAUUUGACAAUUAGCAGUGCAUAGAAGACUGAAUGGUGAAUAAAGUGCUGUUGUUUCUGCGUUGCUGUUUUUCAGAAGAGAUUUUUGUGUUGCCUUGUUAUGAUUAGGCCUAUUCUGAGCAUAGGGUGUUUGAUUUUGUCAUCUUUUUGAUUAUAAAUCUAAGACUCUGGGAGAGCAUCUACUCUGACCCUUUUCUAGAAAUGGGCCUUAACAUUUCACUUGGUGGUCCAACACCAUCAUAUCUUUAGAGAGUAUGCAUCUUCCAGACUAUCCCUGUGCUUUCCUGGAAGCCAGCUCCUUUUGUUCCUCAUCAUCUUGUUUAAAAUAUCAUGUUUAUAACAAGGAUUUGUUGUUUCCCUGUCACUGGUGGUUGCUAUGUGUUUCUCUAAGAUGAAAGCCUGCUCAGUUUAUUCAUUUGUUUGAAUUUUUGCAAGCUUCUUCAUUUACCUGUGUGGUGGUUGAUUCCCUUUCCCCUUUAGAGAUAGUGUCUUUGUAAGAGGUUUUUUUUUUUUUGGGCUAAAGUCCUUAUUGUUUAGGACUGAAUUCAAGCCCCCCUCUUGACUGAUAAUUAAUACCCUUCCCCAUAUUUCCAAGCCAGCAUGCUUUCAGAGAAAGUUUAGCUUUCCUUUUCUAUUUUUCACUGUUUCUAAUAUGCUUCCUCUAAUUUUUAGGCUUACCAACGGUUACCAUGUUUUGAAUUUGUUCCUGUGAGGGCUCCAAAUGCCCAUUUGCAAUAAACUAACUGACUCUGUAUCUGUGAGACAGUUACAGAGGAUUAUUAAGUGUGAAAGAGAAUACCCAUUAGAAGUAAACUGUGGAUAGUAUAACCUUUAAAGUAAGACUAUGUAUUUUAUGUAUUAUAUAUGUAGAAUAUCUCUUUCUGACCUUAGUUUUCAUUAGUAAAUGUUAUUUUCAGUUCUUUACUGACCAAGUUGUAUAGUUUUCCAACCUUUGGCACUUUGGCUAAUAAUAAUCCGAAUUCUCUUGAGGAAUUCUAAAUUUCAUUUGCAUUUUCUCUUUGUAAUUUUGCCCUCCUGGGUUACAACUGUUAGGCUUUCCUGUAACAUUUGGGAACUGUUCUUUAAAGUUGUUGACUUUGGAACUGUCCGUGUAGGUCGUAAUCCAGGACAUGCCUUCAGGAGCU